ACUCCACAUCGCGGGAGCUCGCGCCGAAAGCGGGCUGAGAGGGCGGCUGGACCUUGUCGAGUCCGGUGCCGCCGACCGCACGAACCUGUCCGGGUAAUGCCGGCGUAGGGAGGGGAUGCCAUGUCGGC
rnacentral:ncRNA from 1 species